UUCCCCAACUUUGAAAAAUAUCCUCCCUUAUCUUAAUUGAAAAUGUUACAUACCUAUUUUACCUUCAAAACUUAAAACCAUCAUCCCUUUCACCUUUUUAAUGUUAUGAUAUUGUUUACUUAUUCUUUUUUGGUCUAUAUUUUAGACUUACCUAUAGAAUGAAAUAAUCUUAUUUAUGACGUAAAAAAGUGAAAUAAUCUUCUGAAACCCAUAGAGUGUUCGAUGAAAUGGCCCAUAGGGAAACCUUUCGCGUUGCUCCAGAAAAUGUCGCCAGUGAUGCUGCGAAAGUGUAUCUUCAGAAGCUAUGACUUCUUUCGUUAUAUUUGGAGGAACAUGAAAGGAAGAUGGAGAAAAUUGUCUAUAGCUUUCAUCAAAGUAGUAAGGCACCAAAGAAAAGGUGAUUACGCAUUUCUCCGUACAUGCCAGACACCUUCCAAAACAGGCUUCAAGAAGUUCAGGGGGAAGACUUUUACAAAGUUCAGCUCCGAAAUUUUUUUGGCACAAAGAAGUUUCCAAGAUUAAAUUCUAAAUGCGACUAUUAGGACGAAUGUUUGGUGGAUUAUUGCAGACCAUUGGUCCAUCAAUGGCACCAAUGGAUUGGAAGAGGCUAUACGAACUCACAGGGAAGAUACUACCGACAAGGCAAUCGUGAGGGCAUCGGAAGUGAGGCAGAGACUGCAAAGAGAGAAGAAAUUUUGUUGGAACUUGAUCAGGUUUUGUGAAGAAAAUGGACGAUGUGUUUGUGACUUUGAGGUUUAACCACGGAGAUCCUUCCAACUAACAUACUGGAAUUUCUUCCAGACACCGACAAGGACGCUGUUGUUCAUUACGACGAUCAUGAGUAUAAUAUGAAAUACAAGGUUAGCGUAUACACGCGCCUCGCUCAAGGUUGGAAAGCCUUCAUUGAUGCUGCCGGAUUAGGGAUAGGAGAUGUGUUGUGUUUUAAGGCAUGUUUAGAUGAGAACCGCAUAGUGUUUUUUUGUUCAUGUAAAGGAGGAUCCGGAGAUCGUAAUGAUAGAUUAGGUCUCCAGAUUCUCUAUUUAAAGUAAUUUAUAAAAUUUCUCGACUUUUGCUAUCAUUUUCAAGGUAAUAUUUUCCAUAACAACAAAAUUCUUCAACAAGAGCAUAAAGUUCUUCCAUGACAUUUACAUUACAACAAGAGCAUGAAGUUCUUACAUUACCUACUACGCGAUUACAACAUACAACAUAAAUUCAGUUGAUUAAGGAAGCCGCCAAAAAGCCAAUAAAUAUUCCCCACGAAAUCAAAAGCAACAUCCUUGUAUUUGCAAGUUUCUCCUCCAAAUUUAGAACUUUUUUCAAGUCAAAUUGUUGUUUACUCUUCAAACCAAUUAAUUCCUCCUUCAUUUUGUUCAAUUCAAUUAGAUGUCUAGCCUCAAUGGCAAUUAAUUCUUCUUGCAAUUUGUCCCUUUCGAUCUUGACCGCAUCUAACGACGACGUCAAAUUUUGAACUUUAUUCCACUGAAUCUCAGGGAACAAUUCAUCUUCCCAUUCCCAAAAUCCACAAGAAUUUCCCUUAGGCCUCGGACAUUUGUAGAAUUUCCGUCCGGGAUUACUAGGAGUCGAUGAAGUGAGGUGUUUUGCAAUGGUGCCACAAUUACAUUUCACGUGAGAUGAACAGCUACCUUGAGACAUGUAUGAACCCACAAUAUUUUCGAAUUACCACAAAGAGUGAUUAUGGACAGAAAUUUGGAGGAGAAAUUUGGUGGAGAAAUUUGGUGGAGGAAGAAUACAUAUAUGAAGGAGCAAUGGAGUGAGCAAGAGGAAUUUCAUGAAUGGAGGAAAAAAAAACGGGGCUGGUGUGAUGAAGAUGAAGAUGAAGAACUAGGGUUCUAAAGGGUGGUGGGUCGGGUGGGAUUAAAGGGGGAACGGUAUUAUAACCGUUACCCCGUCGAUUUUAUUUUAAAAAAAAAAAGUUCACAAAAAUUAAUUAACGCGCGGCUGAGGCACUGUCAAACACGCGCCUUGGUCUGGGGCACUAGAGGGGGAAAAUAAUUAAAACGUAACUUGUUAAGGGGGAUAAAUAAACAAAAGUUAAGUUUAGUUGCUAAAGUGAGUUUUCGUGCCAAGUUCAGGGGCUAAAACAUGUGUUUUCUCUUAAACUUAUUAUGCAGGUUGUUUGAAUUGUUAACUUACUAAAUAUAGAAAGAAAUACUCUUUUUGGGACAACCAAAAAGCAAUCCCAAAAAGGAAAGUAAAACACUUAAAUUGAGACGAAGGGAGUAAUUUUUAUUAAGGUGACUUUCCAAAUAAGCCCUUAUAAUUGGAAUUUGGAAUGUCAAAACUAUUCCAUGCCGCUAAAGACAAAAUUCAAGUAGUCAAAUUUGGCUAGCUUGGAGAUCUGGUCAUAUGAUUUCUCACAUUCUCUUUUUAACAACAAAUUGCAUAUUUUGAUUUUCAUAUUAUUGCAAGGUUUUAUUUGAACUUUGGAGAUGGCUUAUGCUAAUGUUAUUUCUCUUGUGCGAACUUUUGGGCCACUCGUGCAACGGAAGCCACAUUGGAUAAAUGAUGAAACAAGAACAAUGGUGGACUCUCUCCUUGAUGGUCUUCAAUAUUUCCAACACUUUCUUAACAACAUUAGCAAGCUGAGAAGGCAACAAUAUUGUGGAAAGGUUGCAGAGUUGGAGAGAAAGAUUACACCUGCAGUGAAUGAAGCAGAAGAUGUGAUUGAACUAAGAAUAUAUGAAUUUUUUAAUGGAACAAUGGGAAGAGAGGCAUUAUCCGAGACUUUCUUGCGAACACUUGUCAAGAAGUUUGAUGAUCUAAAGAGGGAGUUGAUGGAAUGCAGGUUUGGUAAAGAAACAAUGGAAAGAAAGGCGUUACACGAAAUGUUGCCUCCACUUGUAAAAGAGAUUGAUGUUGUGAAACGGGAGGUGAUGGGAAGUCAUUUCGGUACAAAUGAAGUUCAAUACUAUGGUGAUCCUACAAAUGAGGAUCUGUGAACGGUUGAGUCCUUGCCUGGUCAUUCAUCUACAUAUGUUACAAAACUAAAUCCAGAAAAUAUUGUCAUGGGUCUUGAAGAUGACUUGACAAGAAUAAUGAGUAGACUAAAAGGGCCAACAUCUACUCGAGAAAUUGUCCCCAUACUUGGAAUGGGGGGAAUAGGCAAGAUGACACUUGCUAGAAAAGCAUAUGAUGAUCCUGAAAUUAAGCAUCGUUUUGACAAACAUGUUUGGAUGACAAUAUCUCAAGAAUAUUGUGCUAGAGAUUUGUUGUUGGGUGUUGUUUCUUGCUUCACUAAGCUGACAAAUGAGAUCAAAGAAGAGAAUAAUGAUCAAUUGAUGGAUAUGAUACACAAAAAGUUGAAGUGUAAGAGCUAUCUUGUUGUUAUGGAUGAUAUUUGGAGCAAUGAUGUGUGGGAUACAAAACGUAAGUGUAAGAGGUAUCUUGUUAGAGGUAUCUUGUUGUUAUGGAAAAUAUUUGGAGCAAUGAUGUGUGGGAUCUUAUGACAAGAACUUUUCCGGAUGACAACAAUGGGAGUCGAAUUGUUUUGACAAGUAGGCUCAACGAUGUUGCUAUGCAUGCUGACCCUGACAGCCCUCCUCAUGAAGGAAGCCUCUUGAAUGCAGAUCAAAGUUGGAUGUUACUUCGUGACAAGGUGUUUGGAGUACAACAACAUGUUUGUCCUCCUGAACUAGAGGAUAUCGGGAAGCAAGUAGCAGAAAGAUGCCAAGGACUAACUUUAGCUCUUCUAGUGGUUGCGGGACAUCUCUCUAAAAUUGCUAGAACACCAGAAAGUUUGAAAGAUGUUGCCAAAAGUGUAAGGAAAGUUGUUCAUAAUUUAUCAGAUAUAUGUCUGGGAGUGCUUUCUAUGAGUUACAAUUACUUACCUAAUCAUCUUAAACCAUGUUUCCUCUAUAUGGGAGUUUUUCCAGAAGAUAGGAAGGUCAACAUUAAGAGACUGAUCAACUUAUGGGUUUCUGAGGGUUUUGUAUCCGAAGAAGAGGGAAGAGAUUGUUUGGGGGAUCUUGUUAGCAGGAAUCUUUUAAUGGUUAGAAGUAGGACAUUUAAUGGCGAGUGGAAAACAUGUUGUGUCCAUGAUCUGGUCGGCGACUUGAUUUUAGGAGAAGUAGAGGAAGAGAGGUUCCUGCAGGUUACUACAGAUUCUUCAGCAAAGAAGCUUUCUCUGCAUCGCUAUAGUUUACAUUCACACAUUUAUCAGGCUGAUUGCUGGGAGUUAUCAUCCAGUCAUCAUCUCACCAGAGCUGUGCACUCAUUCCUUGAAUUCGAUAUGCAUUAUAAACAAGUUCCUCUUUUGGAGCAUUUCAAGCUGCUAAGAGUGUUGGCAAUCCUUGAUCAUGCGUUUGAAAGUUUCCCACUUGAGGUAACAAAAUUGGUACAUCUCAGAUACCUUCAAUUGAACUGUAAUGAAAUUCACUGGUUAGUCUUCAGUCUUUAUAAUCUGCAGACGUUCAUUUUAAAUGGUCGAAUUAAUUAUUCUCAAACUGAAUUACCUGAGACUAUUUGGCGAAUGAAAUACUUAAGGCAUCUUCACGUGAGUCAUCAUUUUUUUCAUUCAGUCAAGAGAGGUAAAAUUUGAUUUCAAGCUAGAAAAUCUGGAGGAACUUUCCUGUCUGCAUUUCUCCAGCUGUACUUCUGAAUUGUUAUCUGCUAUUCCAAAUCUUAAGAGACUGAAAAACCAUGGAAAUUGGUUGCAACGCCAGACUGGAUAUCGGAAUUAUUCACAAUUCCUAAAUAGCCUUUCCUGUUUAAAAGAACUUGAAAUAUUGAAGUUCAUGUGCGCAGAUAUAUUCCAUCUAGUAGUCCCAAGUAAGUAUACUUUGCCUACAUCUCUGAAUAGGUUGAGUUUAGUAUAUACUCAUUUACCAUGGGAAGACAUGAAAAAUAUCGUCAUGUUGCCAAACCUCGAAGUGCUUAAAAUUAAAAAUGCUGGAUUUGAUGGUCCUGUGUGGAGAUUAAAUGAUGAAGAGAUUUUCAAUCAACUUAAGUUCCUCCUAAUCAAUGUGAAAUAUCGGGAGCAAUGGGAAGCUGGCAGUGUUAACUUCCCAAAGCUGCAACGCCUAGUUCUGAGAACAUGUAUAUACCUGGAGGAAAUCCCUAAAGACAUUGGGGAAAUUUAUACCUUGGAGUCAAUAGAGAUGUAUGAUUGCAGCACUUCCGCUGAAAAAUCCGCGAGAGAAAUUCAAGAAGAGCAAGAGAGCAUGGGGAAUGAUUGCCUUAGUGUUUUCAUCGAUAGCUUUCCGUAAGAAUCAAACUGUCUCAAACUAUUGCUAGCUAAUCAGUUUAAUAUUUUCUGUGAUCCCUUUAUUCUUUUACAUUGCCUCAUGAUAUUAUUAAGUUCCUCCUAAUUAGAACGAAUGAUCUGAAGCACUGGAAAGCUAGCAGUCUUAACAUCCAAACGCGGCAACACCUAUUUCUGUUUACCCAGAGGAAAUACCAAAAGACUUUAGGGAAAUUUGUACCUUAGAGUCAAUGUAGUUGUAUGAUAGCAGAAGAUCUGCAGCGAAAUCCGUGAAUGAAAUUCAAGAAGAGCAAGAGAGCAUGGGGAAUGAUUGCCUUAGUGUCCUCAUCGAUGAUUGUAGUAGGGGAGUUGAAUGUUAAGUUCUAGAAAGCUCAUCAUGCAAGUUAAGAGAAAAUGGUGUGCGUGUGAUGACUCUCAAGCAGUGGGAAUCAAUAUAAUGACCCUUUGUUAGCUUAGAAUGGGAGAUCACCUGUAACUUGUUCAUUAGCAAUUGUAGUCUCUUUUUUGUUCCUUAUGAUGACUCAAAGACCUAGCUUUUACCGGGGUCAUGUUGCUAGUUACUGUUCUUUAUUUUUAAUUUUCUCGUGAGCUAAAUAAUAAUGACUAGAUGGUUGUUAUCAUGGUAUAUUUCGUAAGGCUAUGUUCUUCAAUUUGAGAGCAUAUUAUAUGCUUCUGUA